GUAUGGCUGUUCGCCAUUUAAAGAGGUACGCGAGCUGGGUUUAGAACGUCGUGAGACAGUUCGGUCCCUAUCUACCGUGGGCGCUGGAAAUUUGAGAGGAUCUGCUCCUAGUACGAGAGGACCAGAGUGGACGAACCUCUGGUGUACCGGUUGUGACGCCAGUCGCAUCGCCGGGUAGCUAUGUUCGGAAGGGAUAACCGCUGAAAGCAUCUAAGCGGGAAGCCUACCUCAAGAUAAGAUUUCCCUAGGAAUUUAUUCCUCUAAAGAGCCGUUCGAGACUAGGACGUUGAUAGGUUGGAUGUGGAAGCAUAGUGAUAUGUGAAGCUGACCAAUACUAAUUGCUCGUGAGGCUUGACUAUACAACACCCAAGCAGUUG
rnacentral:rRNA from 1 species